AGUGAACGCUGGCGGUAGGCCUAACACAUGCAAGUCGAACGGCAGCACAGUAAGAGCUUGCUCUUACGGGUGGCGAGUGGCGGACGGGUGAGGAAUACAUCGGAAUCUACUUUUUCGUGGGGGAUAACGUAGGGAAACUUACGCUAAUACCGCAUACGACCUACGGGUGAAAGCAGGGGAUCUUCGGACCUUGCGCGAUUGAAUGAGCCGAUGUCGGAUUAGCUAGUUGGCGGGGUAAAGGCCCACCAAGGCGACGAUCCGUAGCUGGUCUGAGAGGAUGAUCAGCCACACUGGAACUGAGACACGGUGCAGACUCCUACGGGAGGCAGCAGUGGGGAAUAUUGGACAAUGGGCGCAAGCCUGAUCCAGCCAUACCGCGUGGGUGAAGAAGGCCUUCGGGUUGUAAAGCACUUUUGUUGGGAAAGAAAAGCAGCAGGUUAAUACCCCGCUGUUCUGACGGUACCCAAAGAAUAAGCACCGGCUAACUUCGUG
rnacentral:rRNA from 1 species